rnacentral:lncRNA from 1 species
CCUAGGAUUCAAGGGCCUGCAAUCUUCCAUAUACUUUUUGUGGAUGAGUGCAUCCUUCUUGCCAAGGCUACUAUCCGUGAUGCUUUAUGUCUCAAGCUGAUCUUGGAGGCUUCUUGUCAUUAUUUGGAUCAGCAGGUUAAUAUUUCUAAAUCCUACCUGAUUUAUGACCAGUCCAUUAAUUCUAAGGUCAAUCGUAUCAUUUCUUCUAUCUUCCAUAUGUCUUAGAAAUCAAGUGUUUGGAGGUAUCUUGGUGUUCCUAUUUCGGGUACUAGGCUUAAUGAUGUUGAUGUCAUCUUCCUCAUAGAUAAAAUUCUUUUUAAGCUUGUGGGAUGGAAGUGGCGUGCUCUUUUAUUUGUUGGCUGGUUAAUUCUUUUACAAUCUGUUCUUUGUUCCAUACCUCUUUAUGCAAUAUCUUCUGUCCCAAUACCACUUGUUGUGCUCAACUCUAUGGAACAUGAAUUCAAGGCCUUUCUUUAGGGCCACACUCCCCAUCAGCAUCUGUUCCACCCCAUUACUUGGGAGAUUAUCUGUACCCCUAAAGCUAAAGGUGGAUUGGGAUUGUGCUCACUCAAGCUCACUCAACAUGUCUUAUUGUCUAAACUUGCUGCUAAUUUGGUUCUUCAACCUCAUUCUCUAUGGAAUUAGUUUGUCUCAUCAAAAUAUAAAUUUCAGAGCUCUUGGUUGACCUACCAGAAACCUGCUUGUUGUUCACCCAUUUGGCACAAGAUGUGCAAUAAGGGCAAAAAGAUUCAAUAUCAUUUUAUAUGGCUCAUUGCAAAUGACAAUCUAUUAAUGUUUGGAAUGAUCCUUGACUGGCACCCAUCCCUUUGUCUCAAUGGCCCUCUUUCUCUAAUGUUGCAGUGACCUUCGGCAUUAUUCAGUGGCUCAAUUUAUGACUCCUAAUCGCACUUGGGAUUAGGCUGCUCUUAAUCAGAUUUUUCAUGCUGAUAUGAUGACCACCAUUUUAUUAUUGCCUCUAGCGCAGGGAGAGUGAUCUGAUCAGCUUGGUUGGGCUUAUUUUUCAUCUUCCAAAAUCAGUUCGGAGAUAUUUUCUCAGCCUUUCAGCCUGAUUCCACUAUUCAGCAAUCUCAUAAUUAUAUCUGGAGCCUUCAUAUCCCUAUGAGGAUCAAAUGCUUUUGCUGGAAAUUACAACAACAUUGCUUACCUUGCAAGCAUCUCUUAGCUUCCUAUGGCAUUCUCCCAGGUAAUGUUAUUGCUUGCAAUUUGUGCCCGAAUAAUCAAGAAGAUCGUGAGUAUUCUAUUAUUAUUUGCCCUUAUGCCUAAAAGUGUUGGUCGGCAUCGGCCCAUACUAUUACUGCUUUUCAACCACCCU